UAGCAUCCAUGACACAAAAAAAAAACAAAAUAAUAAAAAUAACAUAUAUAAUAAAUAAAACCAAAAAAAUAAUAAAAAUAAAAAAAAUUUAAUAAAGCACCCACGCAUGCUGUCACGAACGUUUUGACCGUUGCAUGAUCAGAGGUGUGACGAGCGUAACGCAUGCUGUCACGGUCGCCACACCCCCAUGACGCCCGUCACGCAUGUUGUCACGAGCGUGACAACUUGCUUUCUCGUAAAUGUUGUUGACCGUUAUGACAAGACCGUUACUCCCCUUUUCAAUUCACCUUUAUUCUAUUCAUCUCACCUCUUUAUCCCCAUUCAACUCACCUCUCUACCCCCAUUAAUUUUUUUUAAUUUUUUUUCACCCACUUCUCUUCCCAAUUUCAAAACUCUUCCUAUAAAUACCUUCACUACAUUUCUUCUUACACCACAUCAUUCCAUUCUAUACAAAAAAAAUUUCAUCCUCUUUUCCUU
rnacentral:lncRNA from 1 species